UACGUAGGGGGGCAAGCGUUGUCCGGAUUUACUGGGCGUAAAGAGCGUGUAGGCGGCCAGGUAGGUCUGGUGUGAAAACUCGAGGCUUAACCUCGAGAUGUCAUCGGAAACCAUCUGGCUAGAGUCCGGAAGAGGAGAGUGGAAUUCCUGGUGUAGCGGUGAAAUGCGCAGAUAUCAGGAAGAACACCAAUGGCGAAAGCAGCUCUCUGGGGACGGUACUGACGCUGAGACGCGAAAGCGUGGGGAGCGAACAGG
rnacentral:rRNA from 1 species